CCUCCUGUUGCCCAGCGGCUAAGGAACCUGACUACGGAUCAGGAAAGCCCAGGUCCAAAUCCUGGCGGGAUCG
rnacentral:tRNA from 1 species